rnacentral:lncRNA from 1 species
AGGGAGCGGCCGCCGCGGCCCUCCACGGCACUGCGCCUGCGUACCACCCGAAGGGCAAUUAAGUCCCGCCCCUUGGGGUGGCCAUAUGACACGAAGCGGCGCUUGUACAAAGUCAUGUGAUGAGUACCCAAUCAAUAAGAUUUCUGUCAUCACGUGGUUACUCGGUGCUUGUCUAACCCCCUCCUAGCGGAAGCUUUCUCGUCUCGAGACCGACCCCGUUGCUUCGCUACCGCGUGAUCAUCUCCCCCCCCGCGUGCAUUUUUAUCAUGUGAUCAUGUUCCAGGCAGAUAUAUGUGUUUUUAACUUGCGUUUCUCUCCUGAGAUUUAAAUCGCACUCUAAUUUGUACCAGACUAUAUUACCUUACUAAAGUAAUGACUGCAAACGAAGAGUGUAUUUGUCCCCCUUCUAAAGCAUAUAUACUUUACGUUAAUAAAAGAAUUUCUCAAAAUAUUACAAGAGAAUUUUCAACCAGACUAAGAAUAUUCAUAUUGUUGUUGUAUUUUAGACCAUUCUUUUAAAGCAAGUGGAAUUCUCCACACUCAAAUUUACUUUAAAAACAAACAAAAAUGCAUAGAAUCAAUGAAUUUGAAAAACAAAAGUGCCGAAGUAAUUUAGGAACUAUUUUCUAGAAUGAUUUUGAAAAACUUCGUAUAGCACUGUGUAGAUUGUUACAUUGUUUAAACAGUUUGUCUGUUUUUUCUUUUCUCAAGCAUUUCACUCCAUUGGUAAUAGGAGUGUCCUCAGAUGCAACAGAUAACAAAUUGCCACCUCUUGCAUAUGGUGGCUGUUGUAUGGUGCCCUUUCUCCCAUUGCAAUCUGCUAGGUGGCCAACAGAUUGACGCAGAUGCAUGGCAACACUUCACAUCGUUUUAUGCCAAGAAUAUAGCCAAUUGAGCAAUCACUGUGCCAGCAGAGGCCAGGCAAAUGGCAACAUCCUGAAUUGGAGAACACCAGCUUUUCUUGGUGAGUGCAGGCAGCUUCCUCUGUUAUUAAGGAUAGAGGCUGAUACGAUGCACUGAUGACACUGGAUGUUCUUUGUCAACAAUUUCACAUAUGUGUAACUGGAAACAAGAUGGAACCCUGUCUCAAAGAGCAGAGCAAAGGAUGCUCUUAUAAAUGAUGCUUAAAAAAUUACAUUUAUAUCUAUUGGUUUUCCCUCCUUUUUCUUCCUUUAAUGUUUUUUAUUGGCUCUUGUUAAUUCUCUUGGGUUGUUGGGUAGGUGGAAUACAAGUACACAAAUAAAUAAAUAGUUAAACUUGCCUAUGCA